AUCACUGUAUGUUUCAUGAUCUUCAUGUUCUGAGUCUGAGUGAGAUGAUGAGCUAUCACUCGAGUCAAGGGAAGUUUUGUACAACUCAAGAAUAUCACAUCUACAUUCACUACAUGGGGUAAUUGCAUGUCCAUGAGUCUCUGCAGUCACAGAGACACUUGCAAGAUAUUGCACAGUUGUCCAUAGCACUCAUGACUUCAGUAAAGCUCAACUCGUCGACAUACGUUGGUUCUGACAUACUGUUUCAUUUCAUCCGAAAUAUUCCGCCUGCCACUGAGACAUUGUCUAAAUUUCAUGAGAAGAGCAUGUGCCUGCUUUUCUGGAUCCCUGCCUGCUCCGUCCUUGUCUCUUGAAUAUAAUCCUCAACAUUAUUGGCUGGACCAUAGUGGAUGACGGUUUCCACACUUUCUUAGCAUUGUGUAUACACAACGUAAUUAACGGAUUCUGACAUCAGCCACAUAUCUCGGACCACCCCACGAGUCUCUCUUAACCGUUCAAUUAACGUUCCGCUUGGUGUUGCCACACCUGUCCGCCAUCUGCUGUUGAGAUACUGUAACGGUUCUCGUCUGAAAAGAGGACUUCUCCCACUGCUGGUGCUGUGCUACCCACUGAAGACGGUCCAGGAAACAAAGAAGAAGACUGAAAGGAUACCACUGGGAGUGCUUCAGUGAGGACCUCAGUGACCGUUCUCCAUCACAGUAGGUGCUCAGCGGAGGGGACUACCUCACCCUUGAGAGGCAGAAACAAGCCAAUCAUGCACUUACGAGAUGGACCUACACCAAGUUCCAGAUUACAAGGACUUGUUCCAAAGAUGGAAGAGUUCCAUAACGAAGCUGAAUUUCUAAAGGUUAUAUGGAAACACUUGUACUCGUCCUCCUCUAACAAGUCUGUUUGGCACUCUGCAUGCUGCAAAGGAGCACAAUAAAUGCGGUGAAUGUUACUCAGGAUCCUCAUGACAACUUUUACCCAUGCUCUGAAUUCAUGGACAAGGUCACCACCGCCUACAUCGUAACUGGGGGACUACAUUACUUCCAAAUGGAACACCUCACUUCUGUCCCAACGUCAAGUUACAUGGGUGCUGUUGGCAAUCCAUAUAAAAUGAUUGAUUAUUUUCUAGGUCAUGCAGCAAAACAGUUUGUAGACAAGCACGUCUUACCGGAGGUUCCUCAACAGCCAGGUCAUGGUCUCCAAAUCAAACACACUAGCCUGCAGGUACUGUGGAAAACUGUACCAGAGACCAAAAGCUCUCCGCAAACACGAAGCAUCCGGAAUAUAAUGCUGAAAACAAUCAGGAUUCCACAUCUUCAGCAGAAUCAAGAUCAUCUAUUUAUCAGUACACCCGUCUGUCUCUCAUGCUUGGGCUUCUUCGAAUAAAUCACAACGAUUCCAUUCACAUGGGAGAUGGUGGCAGGCAUGAUGAGACUAGUAAAGUGGUUCUGUUUAUACUACAAGGCAAGCAAAUGUCCAAAGUAUGCAUAUGGUCUCCUUUGAAACACAGGCAAAGGCAUAUGCUCUCCUAUAUGAACGGCAGGCUUUAUAGAUUGAUAUGGAACCGCACAGUCAACCAUCAAGGCAGAGAAGACACCAAUCAUCCCAUCGACCUUGACUUGGAGCAUUGCAACAGGGCUUUCAAAGAUGAUGUACACACAUACAAGGGGAGGUACACAGAUAAAAGACGAUUCUCAAAGUCAGCAGAAGUGCGCUGUCAAUGGAAGAAUUAUGCCAAAAAUACGACAAAUUGGCAUUCCGCAAGAAAUGUUCGGGAAGGCAUGGAGUUGUUGAUCCUUCUUGGUGAUGUUCUUAAACUUGUAGAACAAUUCCAUUCCUAUGCAGCUCUAUUCAAUGAGGCCAACAAGCCACUGCCACAGAGAAAUCAAAAACAUGCUGAGUGACAUCCAAAAUUGGAUUUCAGAAAGUCUUAAAGUCUUCAGUAGCCGCACAUACUAUAACAUCUGAACCUUUUUUCCCGAUGUGUAAUUCAGUGUCACAUGAUUAAAACGAGACCCUGUUGCAAAGU
rnacentral:lncRNA from 1 species